UACGUAGGUGGCGAGCGUUAUCCGGAAUUACUGGGCGUAAAGCGCACGCAGGCGGUCUGUCAAGUCUGACGUGAAAGCUCCUGGCUUAACUGGGAGAGGUCGUUGGAAACUGAUGGGCUUGAGGCAAUGAGAGGGGUGUAGAAUUCCCGGUGUAGUGGUGGAAUGCGUAGAGAUCGGGAGGAAUACCAGUGGCGAAGGCGGCACCCUGGCAUUGGCCUGACGCUGAGGUGCGAGAGCGUGGGGAGCGAACGGG
rnacentral:rRNA from 1 species